CUGUCGGGAAAGUGUCUGUGUGUCUCUGUGUGUGUAUGCAGAGGUGUGCACGUCUUUGUGCAGUUGUGCGUGUGUGCGCACAGCCGUGGGUGCGAGCGCUUCUCCCGCGCACGCCAGGGCUGGCCUUUGUGUCCGCGGGUAGAUAAAAGCGGAAAAUCCGCAGACUCUGAGGCCCAGCCACAGCGGCGCCCCUGCGUGAGGACAGCGAGAGAUUCCAGAAGCCUAGCCAGGCCUUCGCCCUUUGCUCCACCCUCCCCGCCCCCGCCCUUCUGGAGAGAUACCACCCAACUGCAGAACGGGGACAGGAAGAAGGGGUGGGGGCGGGCAGCGGACUGCAACUCGGAAGAGCUGAUGAGAGUGGAAAGGGUACGGGAGGGGCAGGCCGAAAGAGGAAGCGGUGAGAACUGGAGAUAAGGCGGUGUGUGCGUGUGUGUGUUUUGAACCCCAGACCAAUCACAAGCCAGGGAAGUGUUGGAACACUACACUACACUAUCUCCAUUCCCAGUUGGCGAGGUGAUGGCGCCCUCUCAUCCAUUCCUAUCAUUGUGACACCGUUUGCCCCGAAGUCCUGAGCAAAACUGUUUUCAAACAGUGCCACGUCCUUGAAGCUCCAGAACUAAAUAAACUUCUUUAUAAACAUCCA